GAGAGAGACAUGCGCGCAUAUCAAUAAGCGGAGGAAAAGAAACUAACAAGGAUUCCCCUUAGUAACGGCGAGUGAAGCGGGAAGAGCUCAAAUUUGAAAUCUUCAAGGUUCUACCUUGACGAAUUGUAGUUUAUAGAAGUGUUUUCUGCUAGUGGAGCUGGCGAAAGUUCUUUGGAAUAGGACAUCAUAGAGGGUGAGAAUCCCGUAUUUGGUCAUUCCUCCUAGCGUUGUGAUACACUUUCAACGAGUCGGAUUGUUUGGGAAUGCAGUCCAAAAUGGGUGGUAAAUUUCAUCUAAAGCUAAAUAUUGGCGAGAGACCGAUAGCGAACAAGUACCGUGAGGGAAAGAUGAAAAGAACUUUGAAAAGAGAGUUAAACAGUACGCGAAAUUGUCAAAAGGGAAGCGUUUGACACCAGUGUUGUUUUUCCGAAAAUCAAUUACGAAUGUUUUAUUUUUGAGGAGUUAUGACUUCAUCGGCUUGCUCCUUUCUUUACUGAAACUUUCUUAAUGCACUUUUCGGUUAACAAGUCAACAUCAAUUUCUUUUGUUGUGAAAGGGUAUGAGGAAGGUGGCUUUCUUUUCGGAGAAAGUGUUUAUAGCCUUGUGCCUCUGCAAUCGGAGAGAUUGAGGUCUGCAGCGUAGAUCCUUCGGGGUUAGAUACGUUUGUGCUAAGUUAUAGCUUUUCAUAGACAACUUGUUGACUAUGUUUAGUCUUGUAGCUUACUCGCUGACGCUAUUUUACCUACGCUUAGGAUGUUGAUAGUCACAGCGUGUAC
rnacentral:rRNA from 1 species